UGGGAGGAGAGAAAGCAGAACAAAAGGAGCGGAAGGCAGGGUAACGUGGAGCAGCCGGUGUCUGGGGGUCACAGGUGAGGUGGGAGGAGAGAAAACAGAACAAAAGGAGCGGAAGGCAGGGUAACGUGGAGCA